rnacentral:rRNA from 1 species
UACGGAGGGUGCAAGCGUUAUCCGGAUUCACUGGGUUUAAAGGGUGCGUAGGCGGGCAGGUAAGUCAGUGGUGAAAUCUUUGGGCUUAACCCGAAAACUGCCAUUGAUACUAUCUGUCUUGAAUAUUGUGGAGGUUUGCGGAAUAUGUCAUGUAGCGGUGAAAUGCUUAGAUAUGACAUAGAACACCUAUUGCGAAGGCAGCAAACUACGCAUAUAUUGACGCUGAGGCACGAAAGCGUGGGGAGCAAACAGG